UUUUCCUUUUAACCCUAAAUGGAUUCCCCUCCCAAAAUUCAUCCCCAGGUCGUACUGAUACCCCCUAAUCAGCUUGUUUUGGCAUUACGAUAAAGAGAGAAAGAAACCGGACACGCAACAUCUCCAUUGAAUCCAUCUAAUCUCUCUCUGAUUGAACGCGAACCAAAGGAAGAAGAACAUAAAUCGGAAGCCAUCCGAUUCUAGACCUUAAUCGGAGCGCUGAAAACCAAUUAAGGACUGACGUGAUUAAGAAGGAAGAAACUAUGCCUGGCAGCAUUGGGUGAAUGGAGGUAGAAACAGAGGAAACUGAAAAUGGUAAUAAUGAUGUAUCUCGUCCCUAAAGAGGCUAAUGAUCAACCGAAGGAACUACUAUACUAGAAACAAGCUUCUAAAAGGCUAUUGCAGAAUGGGAUACGGGUACUGAUGCGGGUCCUCUUGUAACUAGGCGUAGGCAUAUUCGGUUUGAAUCUCUUCAUGAAGGUAUAUAGGGGUGCUAAACGGGUCGGGUUUGCGGGUCAACCCGACCCGAACCUGAAAAUUUUAGACUGAUGCGAACCCGAAAAUCAUGCCGUACAUAUGAACCCGAACCCGACCCGAAUAUUCGCAUACUGACCGAACCCGACCCGUUCAACCCGAUUUUUUUUUUAUUUUUUUCAGCAAAUUAAUAUAUUAAAAUUAACACUACAACAAAAAAAAACACAAAUUUAUAUAAUAAAAUUACAUUAAAAUCAUAUAAAUUUAUGUUAACUUCCAUUUUUAAGUUAUAUUUAUAGCAUAAAAUAUACACCCAAUUUAAUUUAUGACAUAAAACAUAUUUUUAAAAAUAUAAUAUAAUAGAAAUGGGUUAAACGGGUCAACCUGCCAACCCAACCGGGUUGACCCGAACCUGGCCCGUUUAGCUAAACGGGUUCGUGGGUUCAACCUGAAACUGGCCCGAACCCGUUUAGACUAAACCCAAACCCACGAAUUUCGUGUUAGGUUCGUAUCAUGUUUUCGGAUCGUGUAAAAAAUUCACACCCCUAAAGAUAUAUGCUUAAUAUUUUAUUACAUCUCUUGAUGUGGGUCAUGUUCUUCUCAUUGUGGCUUCCUUCGUAUUGCUCCCUUUUCACCGGUACUCGCUGGUGUUGGGGAUGCUUGUGGUGCUAAUGUUCAUCCCAAUUUAUGAGCGCAUUAUAUGGGGCCUUGCUAUAGCUAGGACCUGUUAGUGGCAGUUCUACACAUGGAGCUAUUUGAAGCCAAAAUCGGGAAGCUUGUUGAACUUGGGUUCAGUAGAGAUGCAGUUAUACAAGCUUUGAAGCUUUUUGAUGGUAAUGAAGAACAAGCAGCUGGAUAUCUUCUACCUCUGGAAAAACGCGUGAAUCUGCAGUUUUUAUUUUGAUAUUUGCUGGUGCGGCAUUUUGGAUUAAUUUGCCAUUGGUCGUUUACACCUAAAUUGUGCAAUGCAUGAAGUAGUGUUGGGAUUGAACCCUAACAGAGGAACAGAUAAUGUAAAGCCAAAACCGGAUCCCAUUAGUGGACACUUAAUAAGCAGCAGUUUACUCUAAUCUCUCCCCUUGACAGUGGUUGUCUAA